rnacentral:ncRNA from 1 species
CGCAAGGCGUGUACUGGACGUCAUGGCUUUCCUCCGGUUCUCCGCCGGUGCUCUUGACUGAGUGUCGGCGGCGGCCGGAACGUUUACUUUGAAAAAAUUAGAGUGUUCAAAGCAGGCUCUCGAGCCUGGAUAAUGGUGCAUGGAAUAAUGGAAUAGGACCUCGGUUCUAUUUUGUUGGUUUUCGGAGCGCGAGGUAAUGAUUAAGAGGGACAGACGGGGGCAUUCGUACUGUGCCGUUAGAGGUGAAAUUCUUGGAUCGGCGCAAGACGAACGACUGCGAAAGCAUUUGCCAAGAAUGUUUUCUUUAAUCAAGAGCGAAAGUCAGAGGUUCGAAGACGAUCAGAUACCGUCCUAGUUCUGACUAUAAACGAUGCCAACUAGCGAUCGGGGGGCGUUACAUUGACGACCCCUCCGGCAGCUUACGGGAAACCAAAGUCUUUGGGUUCCGGGGGAAGUAUGGUUGCAAAGCUGAAACUUAAAGGAAUUGACGGAAGGGCACCACCAGGAGUGGAGCCUGCGGCUUAAUUUGACUCAACACGGGAAAUCUCACCCGGCCCGGACACAGUGAGGAUUGACAGAUUGAGAGCUCUUUCUUGAUUCUGUGGGUGGUGGUGCAUGGCCGUUCUUAGUUGGUGGAGCGAUUUGUCUGGUUAAUUCCGAUAACGAACGAGACUCUGGCUUGCUAAAUAGUUACGCGACCAUCCCCGGUCGGCGUUUAACU